CCACGCCCAGCUCCUUUUAAAUAUUUUGAGCCAGGUUGUCACUGUGUCGCUAAAUUGCACAGACUGGACUGGAACUUGAGAUCCUCUUGUCUCAGUCUCUCAGAGUGCUGGGAUCACACGCAUUCACUGCCAUGCUUGGUGCUAAAUGCCUAACGAAUCCUUGUCCUGUGACAGAUGGUCUUGCUCCGGGCCUGUUAGCCAGUCUUAGUCUAGUCCCAAUCACAUUCAGCCUGAUAGCUAAAGAAGUCAUCUUAAAGCAGAACUAUCCCUUUGCCUCUCCUGUGCUCAGAAUCUCCCAUGGCUCCCUAGUGCCCUCAAGAGAAAGUUUAAACUGUUUCACCUGGAAAAUUAAUGGCCUGCAGAAAGUGGUCCCUGCUCACCUCUCCCCACAUCGUUGCUCCAUGACCAUGAACAUUUACCACCUUCUACUCAUCCAGCCCUGUCUUCCCCAGCAGGUCUUACAGCUUUCAGUGCUCUGGCCCCAGCCUUUUAGUCCCAUCCAUCCUUGCCCUGUGUCCUCUAGACCACAGCACAGCUGGGCCCUACUCCAGGAAGACCUUCUUGAUGUUCAACAAAGACAGCCUCUCACAGUAGGCAAGCCUAGGUGGAAAUUUCUGAUCCUCCUGCCUCAGCCUUCCAAGUGAUGACAGAUUCUAACCUGACUGUCACCGCGGCAAGUCAGGCCUCCGCUCCCUGAAGUUCAUGGCCCUCCUGGAGGAGGGAAGGAUGACUCAGAUUUUUGGGAGCCACACACAGCUCGUGAAUACUGACAGGACAGUGAAGAGCAGACCGGGUUGCAAGACUGGGUCACCACGAGAAAGCUGUCCUUCUCCCCCAUAGCCUUCUGGGUGUAGUGAGGGCUGCAGGGAUUUAGUUGCUAGCUGCCCCCGCCCAGGGUGGUCUUUUUUUUUUUUUGAAACACUCAUAAGGUUUAAUUAAAGAUAAAAGUACAAACAGGGUCUACAGUGUGAGUUUGGGGCAAGUCAAAAGAAGGGUGGGCCAGCAUGCAGGAGCACACACCACAGUGGCAAAACUCAGCGGGGACUUUGGGACUUCCAGGAGGAUGGGGCGGUGAGCAGCAGAGAAAGAACCUCACUGAGAUUUGGUGUCGUGACACUGGACCCGAGCGGUGAGAGGAGGAGGAGGAGGGAAGUGGGGCCUCAGGAGGCUGGAAAGACUCAAAUCAAGAUCUGAAGUCCACGGGGACAGCAAAGGAGUCACUUGGCAGGCAGUGCUGUCUCCCAGAACUGGAACUACAGCACGGGAAGGGGGCCUGGACCCCGCAGAAGCACAGUGAAUACUGGGCCCCUCCAGAGCUCCUCCUCCUCCUCUUCCUCUGUCUUCUUCACCAACGUCCCAGUGUUGUGUGGUCUUCUUCCCUUGUCUGCCAGCCUUACUCCUCUGUUUCUAAUGCGCCUCCUCUUUUUCUACUGCUCUAUGUUUUUACCUCUAAGCCUUUUUAAGUGUAGUCUCCUAAGGGUAAAAUUGCCAUGUUGAGGGCUUAUGUAUUGCAUACAAUUUUCCAGUUUUAUUUUAUUUUGGUACCAGGGAUUGAACUCGGGACCUUGUGCUUUCAAGGCAGGCGGCAGAACCAAUGAGCUAAAUCCCUGGCCCUUUUGGUUCAUUUUGUUACAUGACCAGAAAGCUAGUUCACAUGGUCAAAGGUGGGAAAUUAAUAAUUUCCAGUUUGUCAUUUUCUAGGCUGCAUUGGAAGCUAUUGCUCUCGCUGAUUGUACUACUUCAGCCAAAGUGACAUGAUUGUGCUAAUCAUUGGUUUUUCCUGGUAUACCAAGACUGAGAUUGCCUAAGGGCCUCAAAAAGACUCUAUAGGCCAUUGCCAAACAAAAUGGGGGCUGGCGCAAGAGGGCAGAAACCUCUCAUCUCCAACAUUGUAAAUGUAGGACCUUGCAAAAGGCUCAAAACCCCAACAGCAGCUACACCUAGAAGAAACAUCUGAGAACACUUCCUAAGGGUUCUGAAUACUGGUAACAAAGCAGCUCGAUCACCAAAAGCCAUUUACAAGCUGCACCUAAGGAAGCAAAAAUUUAAAAGCUGGGAAAUGAGAAGGUACUUAAGACAUAGCCCCUGUACCAACUUUCAAGGCACCAAAGGCAAACCCAGGGGGAAAUCAAGGGGAACAUUCCGAAACCUACACACCUGGACACUCUGAAAUGGUAACAGCAGAAGUAACAAAGCAGAUGAAUGAGGCUCUAGAAAAAAUAUCAAAGCAAGAUUAUACCUCAGAUAACUAUGGUGUUGGUGAACAUAAUGAAAGACAAGCUCAGUGACGCUAACAAACAUGCAGAUUAAAAAAAAAUAGAGCAGCUCAGGACCACGAUGGAAACCAUGAAUGCCCAGCAUAGGAAAGAAAUGGAAUCCAUGAAACACAUUCAAACAGAUAUCCAGGACAAUACAAGUUAGAUUGAAAGUAAACACAGAAGAAUGAUCCAAUGUGAAGACAGAAUAUCAGAAAGACAAGAUACGAUUGUAGUGAGUAAUCAUGAAAAGAAAGAUUUCUUAAAAAUAGGAAUGAAACAUGACAGGUCAAUCCAGCAGCUGCUAGAUGAUGCAAAGAACAAUAACAACAUUGAUCGGAGUCAAUGGAGAAGCAGGAGAUAGUUCAAAUGACUUAAAAUACCUAAUCAUAGAAGGAAUUGCGGAACACUUCCCAAACUGAGAAAAAGAGUUUGACACACAGAUGAGUGAAGCUUAUAGACCUCCAAUAGCCACGAUCAAAAGGAAAUCUUCAACAAGGGAUAUAGUAAUCAAGAUUCCACAAAUGAAGACUAAGAACAGAAAAUCAAAGGCUGUUGGAGAAAAGAAACAAAUCACCGAAAAAGGAGAGCCCAGCAUAACCACAGCAGACGUCUCAACACAAACCCUCAAAUCCAGGAGAGCUUGGAGUGUUCCAGCCCUAAAGAAAAACAACCACCAACCCAGACUGAGGUAUCCUCCAAAAGUAUCUUUCAAAAUGGAUGAGAAAUUGGAUACUUCCACGACAAAAACACACCAGGAAAUUAAGGACACCAAACAGCACACAAAAAUGUUCUGAAGGAUAUUCUAGAAAGCGAUAUCAAAGAUUAAAACUCCAUAAUGCCCAACAGAAGGAAUCUACUAGGACAGGCAAGAAAUUAAACAUAAGGGGAAAGAAGGGCUAU